rnacentral:rRNA from 1 species
UUAGACAGCUAGGAUGUUGGCUUAGAAGCAGCCAUCAUUUAAAGAAAGCGUAAUAGCUCACUAGUCGAGUCGGCCUGCGCGGAAGAUGUAACGGGGCUGAAAUAUAGCACCGAAGCUGCGGCAUCAGGCGUAUCACUAAUACGCCUUACGAUUAACAAGCUAGAAUGGCGCGAAGCGUCAUGAAAGGUUGUUCAAGCAACCCGAACGUUGAGUCGGGCAUCUUAGAGUAAGGAUGAUUAGUGAUACGCCUGUUGGGUAGGGGAGCGUUGUGUAAGCGGAAGAAGGUUCAUCGAGAGGUGGGCUGGACGUAUCACAAGUGCGAAUGCUGACAUAAGUAACGAUAAAACGGGUGAAAAACCCGUUCGCCGGAAGACCAAGGGUUCCUGUCCAACGUUAAUCGGGGCAGGGUGAGUCGGCUCCUAAGGCGAGGCUGAAAAGCGUAGUCGAUGGGAAACAGGUUAAUAUUCCUGUACUUGGUAAAGCUGCGAUGUGGGGACGGAGUAGGUUAGGUUAUCGCACUGUUGGAUAUGUGCGUUUAAGUUGGUAGGUGGGAAGUUUAGGCAAAUCCGGACUUCCUUAACACAGAGAGAUGAUGACGAGGCUCUACGGAGCUGAAGUAACUGAUACCACACUUCCAGGAAAAGCCACUAAGCGAAAGGCUUUACUAAACCGUACUGAAAACCGACACAGGUGGUCAGGUAGAGAAUACUCAGGCGCUUGAGAGAACUCGGGUGAAGGAACUAGGCAAAAUAGCACCGUAACUUCGGGAGAAGGUGCGCCGGC